ACCAGCUUCUGCAAAGCCCAGCCAGGAGCUCAAGUGUUCUGUUCCCCCAGCUGUCAAUCAGAGUAGGGAGGGCAUGAAGGAGACAUAGGAGAUAGAUUCAUGAAGAAUACUUGUUACUUUUAUAUGUGAUCUGCAACUUUAAGAAUUUUUUUUCCUGAUACUACCAAAAUGAAUUCAUCAAAAGAUAGCCUAAUGAUGAGGCUUUUCUGCCACUUUGCUGUUAUUAGACUCCAGGGAGUAAAUGUCUCUUAUUAUCAUAAAAAGGGAAAUUAUGAGCUUUUUCUCCAAGAGCUAUAAGACAAUCUUAUCUUCAUUUUCAUUCUUCCAGGUGGUUAUGUUGAAGAUGUAAAUAUUCUCCCUGCUGUGAGUAUUACUGCAGCUGCCCAAAGAUGCUUUAUUUUAAAGAUGUGGAUACAGGAAGAUAAAAGCAUCAGAAACACUGCAUGGGAAAAUCAUUCAGACUGCAGCUUCCUGGUUUUAGACAUCCCCACUGGCAAUUGGGACAUCUAUUUUGGAGAUGUAAUUGAAAAGACUGAAGAAUGUACUGAGGACCUUCUGGCUGAUAGAAGCUGACAAAGAAGCCAAGAUUGGUGAAGAUUUCUGCAAUACCUGAGUUUCUAAUCACAACAACAAAAAUGGUAUUUAUUUCCUAUUGACCCAAACAGUGGCAACGUUUUAGUCAAGGUGAUUUAGAGGAGGUUAGAAAGAGAGGUGGAUGCUUGGGCCAUAUUAAAGGCAGAAAAUGGGUUAUUCUCCCAUUAUCUUUU
rnacentral:lncRNA from 1 species